AGAGCUCAUCCAUAGUUGUCA
rnacentral:miRNA from 1 species